UUGAAAAACCUGAACAGCUGAGUGGACAUCUUCAAGGAAGUUGUAGGAGCCAGAGGUCUGCAAACAGUAGCCUGCAGUCAACAACUCCAGUGCAGAAUGGACCCUGAAGAGGAAUUCAAGCACCAACAGAGCCUAUGCAACCACAUCUUGUAUAUAAUUCAUCUGCAUGGUCACAAAUAGAAAGUGAAGAUCAACCACAAUGACUUCAAAUGGGACUCUAUUCUGCAGAUGCUUAUCUUCAGAUCUCAGCCUGGACAUGAUUUGCAAUAGUGCAGACAAAGACUAUAUUUAAACAAUUUUAGAGUUAUGGAGGUUUGCUGUGACGUAUGGAGGUUGAUAAAGCAGAACUGAGUUCCCUGACCUGGGUGAUACUUCUUUCUGAAAGAAAUUUCUAAGAAAAAAAUGGAGAAAAGAACCUGGGAUCUUACCCAUCAUUGAAUAUCAGCCCUCAAAGUGACAUCACUACCGAGGCAUGUAACACAAGGGAGAGAUGAGAAAGAGCCUAUGGUGGUCUCACCCAUCUCAGACAUCCAGGCUUUGCUCACUUCCUUAGGGGUUGCACAAUCAGGAUUUUCAGGGCUUUCAGGAUUUUCAAGAACCAUCAGCAACUGGAGG
rnacentral:lncRNA from 1 species